rnacentral:rRNA from 1 species
AGUGAACGCUGGCGGUAGGCCUAACACAUGCAAGUCGAACGGCAGCACAGGAGAGCUUGCUCUCUGGGUGGCGAGUGGCGGACGGGUGAGGAAUACAUCGGAAUCUACUCUGUCGUGGGGGAUAACGUAGGGAAACUUACGCUAAUACCGCAUACGACCUACGGGUGAAAGCAGGGGACCUUCGGGCCUUGCGCGAUUGAAUGAGCCGAUGUCGGGUUAGCUAGUUGGCGGGGUAAGGACCCACCAAGGCGACGAUCCGUAGCUGGUCGGAGAGGAGGAUCAGCAACACUGGAACUGAGACACGGUCCAGACUCCUACGGGAGGCAGCAGUGGGGAAUAUUGGCCAAUGGGCGCAAGCCUGAUCCAGCCAUACCGCGUGGGUGAAGAAGGCCUUCGGGUUGUAAAGCCCUUUUGUUGGGAAAGAAAUCCAGCUGGCUAAUACCCGGUUGGGAUGACGGUACCCAAAGAAUAAGCACCGGCUAACUUCGUGCCAGCAGCCGCGGUAA